rnacentral:rRNA from 1 species
UGGGGAAUAUUGCACAAUGGGCGCAAGCCUGAUGCAGCCAUGCCGCGUGUGUGAAGAAGGCCUUCGGGUUGUAAAGCACUUUCAGCGGGGAGGAAGGCGGUGAGGUUAAUAACCUCACCGAUUGACGUUACCCGCAGAAGAAGCACCGGCUAACUCCGUGCCAGCAGCCGCGGUAAUACGGAGGGUGCAAGCGUUAAUCGGAAUUACUGGGCGUAAAGCGCACGCAGGCGGUCUGUCAAGUCGGAUGUGAAAUCCCCGGGCUCAACCUGGGAACUGCAUUCGAAACUGGCAGGCUAGAGUCUUGUAGAGGGGGGUAGAACUCCAGGUGUAGCGGUGAAAUGCGUAGAGAUCUGGAGGAAUACCGGUGGCGAAGGCGGCCCCCUGGACAAAGACUGACGCUCAGGUGCGAAAGCGUGGGGAGCAAACAGG